CUGGGAGAGAAACCCAAACUACGAGUCAGAGUGAGUAGUUCCAAAACCCGAAGUGGACUAACGGAGCGGAAGUCUACAGCCGAGGGCUAAUGUACCCGAAUCCAUACAAAAGGUGACGUGGACUUGAGAAAACGAGUCGGAUCAGCAUUAAUUGUGGACUGCUGUGUCUUGGAAACUUGAUCAGCGUGCUUGGUGAUGAAGGCAAGAAGGGAACUUUCGUACAGAGACUCUAAGCUGACGCGUCUUCUCCAGGUUCUGCUACUCCUGGAAGAGGACGAGGACGUGGCAGGGGUCGGGGUGCUGCCAUUCCGUUAGAAAGUGUUGAUAUGCAGCGAGUCCAGAUGUUGCGGGCUGAACGACUCACGUCAGAGCAAGACAGGAUCCAGAGUCUUAGUCUUCAGGAGUCACAUCAGCUCCUGCAGAGAUGCCUUACCAGGGACAUCAUGGCCACACAGGACACCCCUGCAGCAGCCCCCACUCCUAUCCCGGGUCAUCCUACCUGGUGUGUGUGUCUGCAUUGCAGAGAAAUGCCAACAGACAUAGAAAGCAAGUGUUUUGGACAACGUUCGAACAGUUGCAUUUCCACCCUACCCCAUUUUGGUCCUUAGAUUAUCAAGGAGGGUCUGGAAUGACAUAAGGGCUGUCCAGGAUGCCCCAGAACCUGGUGAAAGCAAUAAACGGUUCUGACAUGCUGCCUACAGGCAAUAUGUGGUUUGGCAGUAUGGGUUCCUUGGCCCAGGACAUAGGGUUGUCAUACCAAGCUGCUGCGUGUGUAAGAUCAGAGAGCAUUACCCAGAUCCACAUGGUCAGUAUACCGGGUUUGUAUCUAGUAGAGUUUAGACCCACCUGUUGUUCUAAAUAGUUUGACUGAUAAUAUUUUAUAAAUAUAUUUAACAUUUUCAGUGUGAUAAUGGUUUUUGGCCAUGGUUCUGUUCACAUUUUACUGUUCAUUUUAUUACUGUUAUUUAUUUCAUAGUUUUCUUGUUUACAUUACAUUUUUCUUUUCAUAAAUUGUAUGUAUUUGGUAUUGUUAAAUUAUGUCUUAUUAAAUAUUAUAAAAUGACAUGAGAGUAUGGGUGUCUGUCAUAUACACUUUACAAUAGAUAAGUAAAAGAACGUGUCACACAUUGAUUCAUUGAUUGAAGUUCACAACAGCAACAUGUGGAGUUGGCCCUCAUUCUGGUGCUUCUGGGUGCCCUGUACACAAAGAAACACAAAAAGUGAUUUUCAAUAUUUAUUUAUUUUUAACUCAAAACAAUCAAAAGUGUGAUGGUUUAUAAAACGUUAGCAGCAACAAAAAGAAAGAACCAUGGACAUUUUAUUCUAACAACUCUAACACACUUGCUAACAUGGAUAGAUUUAUAUGUUUUAUAUAAGUUUCUGUAAAGUAUAUAUAUAUAUAUAUGAGACUUAUUGGUAUUUCAGAUAUGUCUAGUAUAAUACUCAUCUAGGUAUGAAAUUUUUAAAGAUAUGGAGUAUACACCCACAAUGGAGAAAAUAUAUAUACUGGUGAUGGUGUGUAUAUUGUUAUUUGUAUAUGUAUGUAUUGUGGAUGUGUAUACACAUGGUAAAUGGACUGCAUUUAUAUAGCACUUUUAACAGACCUAUGGCCAUCCAAAGCGCUUUACAAUUAGCCUCACAUUCACCCAUUCACUCACACAUUCAUACACCGAUGGCGGUGUACACACAUACAUACCACACACGGGCAUGGUGCAAUAUUACAUUUUUACCUCUGCAAUGAUUUGAUUAUGUGGGUAUUGUUGAUGUACAGUCUUGUUCAA